AGAGUUUGAUCAUGGCUCAGGAUGAACGCUGGCGGCGUGCUUAACACAUGCAAGUCGAGCGAAGCAUAUCUGCGGAAGUUUUCGGAUGGAAGCGGGUAUGACUGAGCGGCGGACGGGUGAGUAACGCGUGGGGAACCUGCCCCAUACAGGGGGAUAACAGUUAGAAAUGACUGCUAAUACCGCAUAAGCGCACACUGGCGCAUGCCAGAGUGUGAAAGACUCCGGUGGUAUGGGAUGGACCCGCGUCUGAUUAGCUUGUUGGUGGGGUAACGGCCUACCAAGGCGACGAUCAGUAGCCGGCCCGAGAGGGCGACCGGCCACAUUGGGACUGAGACACGGCCCAAACUCCUACGGGAGGCAGCAGUGGGGAAUAUUGCACAAUGGGGGGAACCCUGAUGCAGCAACGCCGCGUGAGUGAAGAAGUAUUUCGGUAUGUAAAGCUCUAUCAGCAGGGAAGAAGAUGACGGUACCUGACUAAGAAGCCCCGGCUAACUACGUGCCAGCAGCCGCGGUAAUACGUAGGGGGCAAGCGUUAUCCGGAUUUACUGGGUGUAAAGGGAGCGCAGACGGCAAUGCAAGUCUGGAGUGAAAACCCGGGGCUCAACCCCGGGAGUGCUUUGGAAACUGCAUAGCUGGAGUACUGGAGAGGUAAGCGGAAUUCCUAGUGUAGCGGUGAAAUGCGUAGAUAUUAGGAGGAACACCAGUGGCGAAAGCGGCUUACUGGACAGAGACUGACGUUGAGGCUCGAAAGCGUGGGGAGCAAACAGGAUUAGAUACCCUGGUAGUCCACGCGGUAAACG
rnacentral:rRNA from 1 species